GGCUCAAUGGUCUAGUAGUAUGAUUCCUUCUUCGGGUAUUAUCCGGAAAUGGAGGAGGUCCCGGGUUCAAUUCCCGGUUGAGCCC